rnacentral:rRNA from 1 species
CCUACGGGCGGCUGCAGUGGGGAAUAUUGCGCAAUGGACGAAAGUCUGACGCAGCCACGCCGCGUGUGCGAUGAAGGUCUUCGGAUCGUAAAGCACUGUGGGGGGAGAAGAAACAAGCCGGUGAAGAGCCGGCCCUGACGGUAUCCCCUUAGCAAGCACCGGCUAACUCCGUGCCAGCAGCCGCGGUAAUACGGAGGGUGCAAACGUUGCUCGGAAUCAUUGGGCGUAAAGCGCACGUAGGCGGCCUAUCAAGUCGGAUGUGAAAGCCCUGGGCUCAACCCAGGAAGUGCAUCCGAAACUGACAGGCUUGAAUGCCGGAGGGGCCCAGAGAAUUCCCGGUGUAGAGGUGAAAUUCGUAGAUAUCGGGAGGAAUACCAGUGGCGAAGGCGCUGGGCUGGACGGCUAUUGACGCUGAGGUGCGAAAGCGUGGGGAGCAAACAGGAUUAGAUACCCCUGUAGUC